GAUAGCACUGAACGUCUUGCCGACGUUGGCAAUUGGAGGGCACCAGCGGCAAAGUAUCGGGAGGGGAUUUUCCCCUGCACAACAAAAAACUUUGGUGGGUAAACCAUCGGCGGGCCGCGGGAUGAAUAGCCACUUUCAUGCACAACUCCGGAGAUCGGUGGAGGAACCGUGAUGAACCAUUUUGCCGAUCCCGCUUCUAUUUUUUUAAAUAAAUAAUAUCUGCGCAACCGUUGGUCCACAUCAAGACCUUCACGCGCGUGCACACGUUUUUAUGACGGUGCGCUAUGCGCGUGAGUGAUCUCAGCAUCGUCUACACUACAGCCUACAGCUAAGUCUACAACGGACUCUGAGCUACAUACACCCCAAAGGCUCUUUUCAGAGCCCAGGCCCAUUUUGCACAGCGUCUUUGCCUUUGUACAUGUACUUGCCGCGUCAGCACACACGACGGCUGGAACUACAGUAUGGUCUUCCCAGUGGACCAGCACCACAUCCAUCUGGAUUGAGACGAGUAGGGGACAUCUCUAGGGUCUUCACAUAUUGAUACACACACCAUUGCAACUUGGAUCACCAUCACCACCACCAUCCCCUGCAUCAGACACCCUAAAUCGUGCCCUUCAUCAGACACCCUACAGUAAAUGCACCACAAACAACACAGGCAAAGAAGAAGAAAA